rnacentral:rRNA from 1 species
GGUGGAGCGAUUUGUCUGGUUAAUUCCGAUAACGAACGAGACUCUGGCCUAUUAAAUAGACGAUAUAUUUAAAAGUAUAUCGCGCUUCUUAGAGGGACAAGCGGCGUCUAGCCGCAUGAAAUAGAGCAAUAACAGGUCUGUGAUGCCCUUAGAUGUCCGGGGCUGCACGCGCGCUACACUGAAAGAAUCAGUGUGCGUUACGCCUAGUUCGGAAGAACCGGGUAACCCAAGUAAAUUCUUUCGUGCUUGGGAUAGGGAAUUGCAAUUAUUUUCCGUGAACGAGGAAUUCCAAGUAAGUGCGAGUCAUCAGCUCGCGUUGAAUACGUCCCUGCCCUUUGUAC